UAGCCGUAAACGAUACUCGCUAGGUGUCGGCCAUGGUGCGACCGUUGUCGGUGCCGUAGGGAAGCCGUGAAGCGAGCCACCUGGGAAGUACGGCCGCAAGGCUGAAACUUAAAGGAAUUGGCGGGGGAGCACCACAACGGGUGGAGCUUGCGGUUUAAUUGGAUUCAACGCCGGAAAUCUUACCGGGACCGACAGCAACAUGAAGGCCAGGCUGAAGACUUUGCCGGAUUAGCUGAGAGGAGGUGCAUGGCGUAGUCGUGU
rnacentral:rRNA from 1 species